GCCAGCAGCCAUAUCACUCUGCAACACACAAAUGAGUCACCCACUGAAGCUAAGCAGGUGUGAGCCUGGUCAGUACCUGGAUGGAAGACUUCCUGGAAAAAACUAAGGUUGCUGCUGGAA
rnacentral:rRNA from 1 species